ACUGCUCAGUAACACGUGGACAACCUACCCUCAGAUCUGGGAUAAACCUGGGAAACUGGGUAUAAUACUGGAUAAACCUUGGAUGCUGGAAUGCACCGAGGCCCAAAGCUCCGGCGUCUGAGGAUGGGUCUGCGGCCUAUCAGGGUAGUAGUGGGUGUAAAGUACCUACUAGCCUACGACGGGUACGGGUUGUGAGAGCAAGAGCCCGGAGAUGGAUUCUGAGACACGAAUCCAGGCCCUACGGGGUGCAGCAGGCGCGAAAACUUUACAAUGCUGGCAACAGCGAUAAGGGGACCUUGAGUGCCAGGAUACAAUCCUGGCUGUCGUGAUGCCUAAAAAGCAUUAUAUAGCAAGGGCCGGGCAAGACCGGUGCCAGCCGCCGCGGUAACACCGGCGGCUCGAGUGGUAACCGCUAUUAUUGGGUCUAAAGGGUCUGUAGCCGGCUUGGUUAGUCUCUUGGGAAAUCCGGCAGCUUAACUGUCGGGCUUUCAGGAGAUACUGCCAGGCUCGAGACCGGGAGAGGUGAGAGGUACUUCAUGGGUAGGGGUGAAAUCUUGUAAUCCUUGAAGGACCACCAGUGGCGAAGGCGUCUCACCAGAACGGACCUGACGGCAAGGGACGAAAGCUAGGGGCACGAACCGGAUUAGAUACCCGGGUAGUCCUAGCCGUAAACGAUACUCGCUAGGUGUCGGCCACGGUGCGACCGUGGUCGGUGCCGUAGGGAAGCCGUGAAGCGAGCCACCUGGGAAGUACGGCCGCAAGGCUGAAACUUAAAGGAAUUGGCGGGGGAGCAC
rnacentral:rRNA from 1 species